GCUGCCCUUAGAGGCAUUACAGGUGGGGCUACUGUGUGACAUGUGUCAGUAGGUGGCAGAGAGGAAAGAGGCUAUGUCUGUACUCAGUGUUCUGACUUAUGAAGAUCUGAAUGAUUCGUGGCCUAGCAUA